GAUGAACGCUGGCGGCGUGCCUAAUACAUGCAAGUCGAGCGAACAGACGAGGAGCUUGCUCCUCUGACGUUAGCGGCGGACGGGUGAGUAACACGUGGAUAACCUACCUAUAAGACUGGGAUAACUUCGGGAAACCGGAGCUAAUACCGGAUAAUAUAUUGAACCGCAUGGUUCAAUAGUGAAAGACGGUUUUGCUGUCACUUAUAGAUGGAUCCGCGCCGCAUUGGCUAGUUGGUAAGGUAACGGCUUACCACGGCAACGAUGCGUAGCCGACGUGAGAGGGUGAUCGGCCACACUGGAGCGUAGACACGGUCCAGACUCCUACGGGAGGCAGCAGUAGGGAAUCUUCCGCAAUGGGCGAAAGCUUGACGGAGCAACGCCGCGUGAGUGAUGAAGGUCUUCGGAUCGUAAAACUCUGUUAUUAGGGAAGAACAAAUGUGUAAGUAACUAUGCACGUCUUGACGGUACCUAAUCAGAAAGCCACGGCUAACUACGUG
rnacentral:rRNA from 1 species